rnacentral:lncRNA from 1 species
AGGUGGGCAAGCAGGGUUCCGCGGGAGAAUCGGGCCAGACAGGUGCGCAAGGAGUAGGCUUCGGCUAGGACAAACCGGACAAUAGUUGGCAAAAGCACGUGACAACCUCCGUGGAAGCAUAGAUACAACCUCGCAGGCGUAGAGAGGGGGGAAUACUGGUGAGAGAGGAUCUUACAUCCAGGGACAUCACCAAAAAUCCAUAUCCCAGCACGCAAAGAGGGGGGGGAUACUGAUAGUACAAGGUCCGACACACAUACCAUAGUACUAAAAGACGUAUCCCAAAGUAUCUAAUACGCAGAGGAGGGGGGAGUACUGGUGAUACAGUAUCCCGAACACGAUCACAAC